GUGAGGAAUAUUGGACAAUGGGCGCAAGCCUGAUCCAGCCAUGCCGCGUGCAGGAAGACGCAUCUAUGGUGUGUAAACUGCUUUUGUACGGGAAGAAACACUCCCUCGUGAGGGAGCUUGACGGUACCGUAAGAAUAAGGAUCGGCUAACUCCGUGCCAGCAGCCGCGGUAAUACGGAGGAUCCAAGCGUUAUCCGGAAUCAUUGGGUUUAAAGGGUCCGUAGGCGGUUUAAUAAGUCAGUGGUGAAAGCCCAUCGCUCAACGAUGGAACGGCCAUUGAUACUGUUAGACUUGAAUUACAAGGAAGUAACUAGAAUAUGUAGUGUAGCGGUGAAAUGCUUAGAUAUUACAUGGAAUACCGAUUGCGAAGGCAGGUUACUACUUGUGGAUUGACGCUGAUGGACGAAAGCGUGGGGAGCGAACAGGAUUAGAAACCCGAGUAGUCC
rnacentral:rRNA from 1 species